UAAUCCUAGCAACCUAUCAUUAGUUGGUUAGAGCCACGUGCGUACGUAAAUAUUAAAAAAUAUACUUAUUAGUGUCUUUAAAUAAUGUGAAGUCUAAAUGUGUUAUUAAAAGCUCUGAAUAUUUUGAAACAGAAAAGCUUGACUUGUAUCAGCAGUAAUAACAUAUUAAUAAAUUUGUCUGCAAAAUGAAAAACAAAUCAUCACGACACAAGGAGAGUAACUUAUUUAAGUUUCAACCAUUUUCUGAAAGAAUAUCAAAUCUAGAUAUCUACGUUUUCCAUAAAGUUGGGCACGAAAAUGAAUUGCAAGUUGACGAACUUCAGUGCCGAUUUUAUGAAACUCUACAGAAAUGGAGUGUUCUUAAUUUGAGUGAAGGCUUUUCCCAGUUUAAGAAAGAUGUAAAUGCACAAUUUUUGAUCACCCUUCCACAGUUAAUCCACAAUAAGGAGAAUGUGAUCGAAGUAUUAUUAAAGUAUUUGGAUAUGAAGAAUCCUAUGUUUCUGCAACCACUUUUAGAAUUAACAUCAGCUUUAGUUGAAGAUUUAAGAAAUGAGUUCUACCCAUAUUUUCUUAGAUUCUUAAAAACUCUGAUUGAUCUUCUAUAUUUAAAAGAUGCAGAAGGGGUAGAAUGGGUAUUUACAUGUUUAGCAUACAUAUUCAAAUUUUUGUGGAAAUUUUUAUCAAGAGAUAUAACUAUUGUGCUAAAUAGUGUUUUACCUCUACUUUCCGAUGACAAACCAGACUAUAUUGUUGACUUUGCAUCUGAGAGUUUCUCAUUUGUAGCACGCAAAGUUGGGGACCUUGAAGCGUUUUUAGAACUAAUUCUAGAAACAGUUCAUUCAAGAAAAGAUGCAAUAAUUGGAUGCAGUAAGCUACUAUUUGAAAUUAUUCAUGGUAGCUCGGGUUAUUUUCAUAGUUGUGCAGAAUUAUGGUUACCAUUUAUGUUUCGCUCGUUAGCUAAUAACAAAUAUUCACAAAUAGUGCUUUUUGAAAUUGUAGAGCAUAUUGUUGCAAAUAUACUGCAACAUAUACUUCCAGAAAAAGCAGAUCUGUUUUGGAAUACAAGCAUUACUGUUUUAAAUGAAUUUUACAACAAUUUAUCUUCUGAUUCUCAGCUAAUAGGUUUUGCCUGCGAAAAUCUUUUAAGGAUUAUUCAUCAAGCAAUUAAAUUUAAGAAUGGAAUUUUUUUGAAAAAUUCACAAAAAAUUGUUAAUCAACUUGUGAAGCUUUUUAAUAUCUCAAAAUCAAAUGAGUCUCUCUUACGAACAGUUGUGCAGUUGUGUUCUACGGUUCUUGUAGCACGAAAUAUAGAUUUAUCUCAAGAACAGACAAGCCAAAUAAUUGCAAAUGUUCAGUCAUUAAAUCUGAGGAGUGCAUAUUUGUGUUUUGUUGAUAGUUUAAUUGAUUAUUCAGGAUUUGAUUUGCUUAUUUUUCCUAACUUUGUAAGAUUUUGUGUUAAUGCAACUGAAUUGGAAACAGAUAGUCUAAAUACAUUGACUAAAAUCAUUUUAAAGAAAUCUCCCUUUUGCAAUAACGGCAUUUUAUUGGAUGCAUGGAAAAGAUAUCCAAUUAGUUUGUCUUGUCAACAAGACAAGUCGUUUUUUUUAAAGAAUAUGUUGCACAAAUUAAAUGACAUGGAAAAUGAGGUAAAUAAUUAUUUAUCUGCUGUAAUUUGUUUACCUCAUAUAAACUUGAAGUCCAGUGAAAUUGAAAAAAAGUUGGUGGAGAACAGCGAAUUACUUUUAGAAUUGCUGCAUUCAAAACAAAAAGAAAUGACCUCAGAAAAUAAAAAGGAGUAUCUAUUUUUAUUAAUGUGUACUGUACAAUGUAUGGUUCAUCUUAAUGUUCAUUAUAUGCUAAACUGUGACAAAAUAGUGGAAACAUUAUUACCAUUUUGUAGUGAUGUACAUUUAAUCGAAAGUUUACAAAUUUUAAGUCUUUACUUAAGUAAACUGAAAGAAGAUAAAAUGUGUUUAAGCUUUCAAAUGUUGUUGAAAAUUAACGAACAUUUAGAGGAUAAUUUUACUUCACCUUUUCAUGAUGUACGACUUUUGAUUACACAUAUUUAUUCAUUGUUUGAAAAUCUUCCCUAUUUCAUUGAAAUCGGCACCGAUUCUAAGGAAGUUUGGAAUUUAUUUAGCAUUUGUUUUCAAAUUGAAUCAACUGAGUUUCAAAUUCAUACAGUUAAUGGUCAGUUGCAACUUAUUGAAAAGCUGUCAUUUCAAAGUACGCAAAUGCAAAUGUGUAAAUUAACACCCUUUAAAUUGGUACCUUUAAAGUACCUUUGUGGGUUGCUGUAUGUGAAUUUUCAACUUUUGUGGAAUCCAGUUUCCAAGAUAAUUUCAACUUAUGCCAUCAAUGCUAUGGAAAUAAGCGAAUUCUGGACAGUUUUUGGAACUCAACUAAAGUUGGUGAAUCAAGAUGUGAACAGCUCGUCAGUAGCGAAAAUCAAGUUUUUGGAUGAAUAUGUCAACAGUACAUUGCUGAAUAUGAACGUACGGGAAGAAAAAAUAGAUUACUGCAAUUAUCGAAUACUGUUAUGGAAAACUAUGGCUAUCUUUCCAGAAAUCGCAGAGGCGAAAACUAGAGAUACUUCAGAAUUACUUUUGUCAUUUAUAAAAAAUGAGUACAAUAAUUUGGCAAUGGAUUUUUCAAAAACAUGGAAUAUUAAGUUACACAAUAUUGGAAAAGAAAAUAAUUCGAAGGAAAAUGUAAUAGAAUGUUCAGAUCAGGACAAAGAGAAGAAGUAUAAACAAAAUAUAAAAAGCAAAGAAAGGACCAUUUCUGCAAUUUUAAAUGUUUUUGCAAAAAUAAGAAGCCCAAUGUCUAUGUUCCGAGAAUCUGAACUCAAGCAGCUGUACUUAGAUUUAUUAUCUUACAAAAAUAGUGAGGUACAAAAGUUAGCAUUAGACUGUUUAAUGACAUACCGACAUGAAUACCUAAUGGCAUACAAGGAGCAAUUGUAUAAUCUCGUAGAUGAUAAAAAUUUUAAAAACGAAAUAUCCCUCUUCAGAAUCAAUAAGGACUCUUCUGUUAUACAGGAAAAACAUCGUCAGUCCCUUAUUCCUAUUAUUUUAAAAAUUGUAUUUACCAAAAUGACUUCUAAAAGUGGCUUAAGAACUGGUGGGAAAGGUUUCGGGCAGAUACGCAGAAAUUUAGUCCUCCGUUUCCUUUCGGGAUGCUACGAAAAUGAAAUUGAGAUGUUUGUACAUAUGUCCUUCAAAUUUUACUCAAAAUAUAUUUAUGGAGAUCAAUUUAGUGUGAUUAUAAACAUUUCUAAUGAGUGUAAUUUGGAAAAGUUUGUUCCGCUUAAACGGCUUCAGAGUAGUGUCAAUUUACUUACUUUAAUAUUAGAAGAACUGGGGGGUUCUUUAAGUGACAAUCUAUUACAAUAUUUAUUGAAAAUAUUAAUGGUUAUUGGAGCAUUUGUGAAAGGCAUUUUUUCUCAGAUCUCAUUAGUGCACGCAGGCUAUAGGGACAUUUUGAAAAAGUUGAGGUCAUCUUUAUUAAGGGUACUCGAAAAAUUUUUUGACCACUUCGAUAAAUAUCCAUGGUCAUCUGAAGAAAUUGAUACUGUUUUUGAGAUUUUUGUAUGGCCAUAUUUAGAACAAUUGGAAAUCGAGGGCAUUCACAGUCCCAGUGCGUUACUUCGUUUAUUUUUACAAUGGGGAUCAAGGCCAAGAUAUUUUGAGUUAUUAAUUAAAUAUUACGCAGAUGAUAAUGACUUCACUGCAAUGGCUUUUAUAAUAAGAUUGCUGCUCAAAAAAUCGACGCAUGCUUCUGUAAGCAAAGUGAUUAUGGAAAUGAUAAAUUAUUUGUUGACAUUUAAAGAUAAUGAAUAUGAGCAGGAUACCUUACGAAUAUUGGUUAAUAGUACGUUGAGCUUGAAAAAUAAUCCAGUACAUCAAAAUUUAGAAAAAAAGAAUCUAAGCCUUGGAAGUUACAUUGUGUUACCUCAUGUGCCAUCUAUUUUGAUUAUGAUAAAGAAUAAAUUGCACAGCAGAAAAGGCUUGACCACAACCGAAUUGUCUGUUUUGUGCAGUAUUUCUGAAUUUGUGUGGGACUGUGAAUCGAGUAAGGCUGUUUUGGACCUUAUGAUACCGCUUUUCUCAAAAAUGUUUGAUUUACCUGAUGAUAAUCUUUUAAAAUUCAUAAUGAUUAUUGAUAACUUAACUCAAAAGAUUGAUCAGCCUCAGAAAUACUUAACAAAACUUUUGCCCUACUUUGGUGAAGUUUCCUACAAGCCUGCUAGGAAGCAACUCUGCGAAAUUUUUAACAAGGCUAAAACAAAAUCCGAUACUGCAGCAUUUAACACUUUAGCGAGAAUUAUAAACGAACUCAAUGCGUGGGACGACAAAUGGAUUGAUCAACCAAAUUUUGAGAAAAGAAUAGAAUGCUUUAAAGAAAUUAAUUUGUUAAUGGAAUCUAAAAAUGUAGAAAUAGAAUUAGGAUUAGCAAUAUUUUACAAUUGUUGUUACAUGUUAAAAUAUGAAAGUGAUAUUUCUCUAAAGGAGAAAUCCAGUCAUUACUGGAAAAUAAUAUCCAAUGAGCUAUUGAAAAACUUUUAUGAUAAAACAUUUUAUUUAUUAGAUGAACAUUUAUUUGUUAUUAUCUGCGAGGGGAUUAAAAGUAAAAAUGAAGAAUUUAGGAACGAAUGUAUUCAACUUUUAGGGUACAUUGCUAGACAUUGUCCUGAUUCCCACAUUGUUUUAAAACAAUUGAAUAAACUUACUAGUGAAACUGAUUUGGAAGUAGAUUUCUUUGAAAAUCUCACGCAUCUCCAAAUUCACAGACAUGUUCGAGCUUUACUGAAAUUUGUAGAUGUAUUUACUAAUAACGUUGAUAGUCAAUGCAAUCGAACAUUAAUUCAAUUUAUUUUUCCACUCGUGUCGUGGUAUUUGUGUAAUGAAAAAUACGUCUCAAAAAACAGUCUCAUUGAUGCUUCUAUAGAAGCUGUAAAAACUAUUUGUAAACUUUUACCGUGGAACCAGUAUGGAAAUUUGUUAAGAAUGUAUAUGAACAAACUAAGAUAUAAAACCAUUUUUAAAAAGCAGUUAGUCCGUGUAAUUGUGGCCAUAUUAGAUGCAUUUAAUUUUGAUCUACGUAGUGGUUGUGCAAAAAGCAUUGAAGAGAUUGCUAGCUAUCAAGAAUUUGAGAAAAAGGAGAACAUACAAGUUUCAGAGACGAAAAAAGAAGAAGCGAUGGUAACUGAAGACGAAAAAUCUUUAGAUCAGCAAAUGGAAGUGGAAGUGAUGUCUGACUACCCUGAAAUGGAAAUAGAUGAAUGUGUGCAUUCAAUUCAUACUGAUGCUUCUGAAAAAGUAUUCCUAUUAUCAUCUGCAACUGCAUCUAAAGUGAUACAUACUAUUCAGAAAAUAUUUUUGCCACAACUGUUUAGGCUUCUGGCAGAAUAUUCACACUACGAUUCGUUUCACAAACUUAAUAAAAAGAAGACUCUUAACGAAAAGGAAGAAGACGAUUUACAAAAAAUUCCCAUUUCAUUAGCUUUGGUUAAAUUGUUACAAAAGUUGCCAAAAGAAAUACUGGAUAAAAAUUUACCAAUGAUUUUUAUGAAACUAGCAACUUUUUUAAAAUCACACUUAGGAAGUGUUCGUCGAAUUGCCAGGGAAACAUUUGAGCAAAUUAUGUGCGUGGUGGGACCAAAGUACUUAAACACAUUUUUAGAUGCAAUACAACCCCUACUACUAAGAGGAUUUCAAGUGCAUGUUCUUGUUUAUACUGUACAUGGAGUGUUGGCUUCUCUGAAAGAAAUGUAUGAACCUGGUGAUAUGGAUAAAAUAAUUAUUACUGUAUUAAACAUUUGCAAAGCUGAUUUAUUUGGAACUCUGGCUGAAGAAAAGGAAGUAGAGAAAAUACGAGUAAAGAUUCCUGAAGCUAAAACCACCAGAAGUUACGAAACACUCCAAAUUUUGGCUUUAUUUGUUACCGAAAAAUAUUUAAUGGACAUAAUCGUACCGUUAAGAUCAGUAUUGUUGAAUUUGCGAUCGUUUAAAAAUAAUAAAAAAAUGCAGGAAUGCUUUCGAUAUAUUGCACUGGGAUUGGUAGCAAAUAAAUUCAUCACGUAUGAGUAUCUAAUGAAAAUUUCAUAUGGAAUAAUAUCGCAAAAUAUACCAGAACUUUUUUCAACACAAGCAAAUAAAAAGAAAAUUGGCGAAAAAUACAAACAAAAUGCACUUUUGACGGAGAGAAGUGAUUGUCUUAUUAUUCCACCUGUGGUAAUGGACAAAUAUGAAGCAAAAGGAAUGGUAGCGAGAGUUUCUGAUAACAUGAAUAACUAUGUUCUGGUAACAUUUGGACUUAACAUUUGCCUUAAUUUAAUAAAAAUGGACCAUCCAAAUAACACUUGUUAUAAAAGUUUUAUGGACCCAUUUAUCAAACUAUUUCGAGAUUGUUUGAGUUCUCAUCAUGUGAAGUUAAAUAUAUUGGCAUUAAAAUGUCUAAUUGGAAUUGCUAAGUGGGAUCUACCGUCGUUCAGAGAAUACAUGCAAGAAAUAAAUGAAAACAUUUUUAAAAUUCUUCACAAGUAUGCAGUAACAGGACUGAAUAAAGGAGAUAAUUUCGAUUUGGUGCUAAUUUCUUUUAAGUUUAUGGCAGUAUUGCUUAGAGAUGUGAAAUACUAUAUAAUCGACAAAGAACAUCUUAAAAUGCUUCUUUUUUACGUGGAGCAAGACUUACACGAAAACGAUAGACAAAUCAAUGCCUUGAUGUUACUGAAAGCUGUUACAUCUAGAAAGUUUGAUUUGCCCGAAAUUUAUACCGUAAUGAAUAAAGUGGCAAAAAUCAGUAUAACUUCAACGAGCUCUCAAGUGCAAAAUUAUGCCUCUCAAGUUUUUUUGCACUUUUUUAUAAAUUAUCCCUUUGGCAAAAAGAUGGAUUCGUAUAUUGGUUUCUAUCUUUCUCAAAUAAAUUAUGAAUAUCAGUCGGGGCGCCAGUCAGCCUUAUCGAUGAUUCAGAAUUUAAUUAAUUCAUUUCCCAUGAGUCUCUUAAAAGCUCAAAGUGGGUCAAUUAUGGUUACUUUGAGUACACAACUAAUAAACGACGAUGUUCCCGAAUGUAGAAAAAACAUUGUAAAUUGUUUAACGAAUAUGUUCAAAAGAUUAGCUAAACCUGAACGAGAUCCGUUAUUCGAUAUCGUUAAAUUAUGGUUACUGGACGAAAAGAUUAAUCAUAGACGAUUAGCUAUACAGCUUUGUGGUAUUUUCAUAGAUGUAGAAAAAUCUAAUUUUGAAUCACGGAUACCUCCCCUAAUGCCCAUUUUAUUAUCUCAAUUCAAUGAAAAAGAGAAAAGUUUUACGGUGUCAUUAAGCAAGGCAGAGUCAUUAAAUGUAGGAUUGGACCAAUGGACAAAAGAUCACUACUUGUUUCAGUUAUUACAAACUUUAUUGAAAUUAUAUUUUCAUUGUUCGGCAACUUUUAAACAAAUGAAAGAAAUGGAAAUUUUUGCAUCAUACGCACAGUCACUACUUAAUUACCCUCAUGAAUGGGUUCGACUCUCAUCCGCACAAUUUUUGGGUUUUGUACUCUCAGAUAUUAAUAUAGAAGAAUUAGCUGAUUGUAUAAAACAUAACAAGUCUAACAAAAGUGGGGGAUAUCUUUACAGUGAUCCUAGAAUCAAUAUUAAAUCCCUUACAUUCGAUUUGUGUGCAAUACUUCAAACUGAUGCUAAACAUCAAGAACUGUCUGAACAGGUUAUAAAGAAUUUAGUUUUUAUAGCACGAAUUUGCGAAAAAGUUCAAUUUAAAGAAGAAGAAGAGCAACUUCCGGACUUAUUUUGGUUGUUAAAAAGGAUGAGAAAGAUUAGCAAUUGGGAAUUAGUACAUUCACCAAAAGAAACAUUUAUCAGAAAAUCGGUCUUUAAAUGGAUAGCAGGAAUAAGCACAGUCUUAGAAAAUAAUCAAGUCAGAUUGGUACUACCGAUACUUUUACCUCCACUGAUAAGAGAAAUGACAGUCGCUGAUACUGAUAACACGUUGCAACAAUUGUCAAAGGAAGUAGCUAAUAUUUUAAAGCAAAGAGUUGGUGAAGAUUUUUACUCUGCAGAAGUAUCGAAAGCAAAACAAAAAUUAUUAUUAAAACAAGCCGAAAGGAGAAGGGUUAAUAAACAAAUGGCAGUUGCAGACUCUGAGUUACAUGCAAAGAAAAAAAUUAAAAGGAAUUUAAAAAAGAAGGAGAGUAAAAAGAAAACUCUUGCUAUUAUUAAAAAUAAAAUACACAGAAAAGUAAAAAAAUAGUACUUUAGAUAUAAAAAGGGAAGGCUCAGGCGGCAAUUCACACAUGGUCUGUAAUAGUCCACUUUCUUCCCGAGAUUUGGUUGUCUUAAAACGUAUGGUUUACAAUCGUGCUCAUGCUCAUAAAAUUCAAAUUUCUUUCCGUACGGAUGGAAAACACGCGUACUUCCGUUCAUGUAUAGAGGAUAGGGAAGUCGAACUUUCUGCGGAAGUGUAACAAAAAGGAAGUCAUCUGUUGAAAUGCUUCUAAUGAGUUUCAUUGAAACAUUAAUUACACUUAUCUAGGAAACUUUAUUUAACCAAAAGUUAUAUUUUUACAACAAACUAAAAAAUUAAAUCUUAUUUCUCCUACCUUUGUCCGCUCCCUGAACCACUCCUUCAUCCGUUCCUGCUUGAUUUUUAAAAUCUUCAACGCU
rnacentral:misc_RNA from 1 species